GUCUUUGUAGUAUAAUAAAUACCCCGGCCUUGUAAACCGGAAAAGGAGGAAUCACACCUCCCCAAGACU
rnacentral:tRNA from 1 species